AGGUUGGAGAUUCCCUGUCUUCUCCAACCUCUGCCAAGUCUUCAGAGAGGUUGGAGUGCGCCUGUCGGAGGUCGGGGCCAGCCCACCUUGCUCUCUGGUACUAGACCCCAGAUGAGGAUCUCAGGAAGAUCCACAAAGCUGCGUCCAGGGGAACGAACGUGUGGAAGCUGCAGCGGAGCCUCCUGCUCAAGAGUAAAGGACCGGUCUGAAACCUACAAGAACAGGACACAUAUUGCUUGUCUCUGAACUUCUCAGCUGCCUGCAGAUCUUCCUGUUUUUCAGCUGCAGUUAGGGUUUGUCUGAGGAGAAGCAUAACAUCCCUCCAGGCCAAAUGCUCCACAAAUAAAUGUGUUGAAUGAAUGAACAAAUGAAUAAGCGAAGUGAAUGGAACAUCAAACUGCAUAAAAAUAUAUUUAUUCAUAAAUGAGAGGUGAUGAUUGCCAACAUAUCAUAAUCAGACUCUGACCUUGGUUACUUAUGAGUUUGACAACGAAGAGGAAAGAGGAUCAGAAUGGAUCUACAUUUGUCCUGUGUCAAUGGCUAUCCAGAAGCGGUAACUUUGCUGGUGCACAGAAAGUGCCAGCUUAACGUGUGUGACGGUGAAAACACGACACCUCUGAUGAAGAUAUAUAGUAGCCAGUUAUUUCAGCAUGAGAUGGAUUUGGUUUAAAUACAUAGAAUAAAAAUGGAUUUAUUUCAUUGAAAUGUAACUAA
rnacentral:lncRNA from 10 species